CAACCCAUUCCUCAAGGAGCAGGGUUGCCACAAACAGAAUUUAAAUGACUACAAGGAGUUGCAGGAGUUACAUUUCCUUCCACCUGCACAGCACCUCCAUAAAAAUAGGGAAAGAGCUCCUUAACUUCCCCAGCAAAUGAAGCACAGAAUUUACAAAUACCUCUUUCAAAGAUCAGUCCUUACCUAUCUGCUGCCCUUAAACUUUCCUGGAAGCAAGUGAAAAGCUUGUCUGAAGUGUGCUGAAAGUCUUUCCAUAAAAUAGGCCAAGUUUCUACUCAGCUUACCACGAAUAAAGAAAAUACAAGAAAAAAGAGAAACUUAGUUCUCAAAUGUUUUGGUCGCUCCUCUCACAAAAAGGAACUGAGCUGCUGAAAGAAGGGCCAGGAAUUCGAACAGCUCCACAAAGGGAUCUCAGCCCAGAGGGAACCAAGACAGAGGGGCGCCUGAAGUGCCUGAAUGGCUGAAAGGGCACACAAGUAGAGCACACAUGAAACCUAAGCAGGCUGAAAGGUAUUUGUGUCAGGAUAAGAGGGAUCAGAGAAUCAUCAAUACAAUCGACUGCUUUGCAUAGAACUGUAUCCACUCAGGAAUGCUAGCACAAGUUUUACUGCCUUUUAUUGUUCCCUGCUGUUAAUGUACAUUUAAAGUGAAUCCCCAUGCUUCAGAGGAGGCUCAGCUAUUUUCAGCUACAAGUAAGCAAAGCCAUAUUUGGGUCACAAAGAAUAAACAGCAGAUCUUCACUUUAGAUUUUAUAACACCAGUUUAACCUAUUGCUAUGUUAUUUAAUCUUAAUUGAACCAUGAUGGAAAAUUAAGAUGGAUAGUUAGUUAUCAAAGAAAAACUGGGUGGUGUUACAUUUCCCUUUAAGGAAUUAGUAUAAUAUUUCAUAUUUUGCUUAUUUUCUCUCUUUAAAAGCAAGCAAUUAGCCUGCUAACCCUCCCCUAUUUGGUAAAUUCAGCAUGCAAAGUAAGAAUCACU